rnacentral:rRNA from 1 species
GAUGAACGCUGGCGGCGUGCUUAACACAUGCAAGUCGAACGAGAAGUGAAGACGGAAACCUUCGGGCGGAAGGCUUUAUUUCGAGUGGCGGACGGGUGAGUAACGCGUGGGUAACCUGCCUCAUACAGGGGGAUAACAGUUGGAAACGACUGUUAAUACCGCAUAAGACCACAGCACCGCAUGGUGCGGGGGUAAAAACUCCGGUGGUAUGAGAUGGACCCGCGUUCGAUUAGCCAGUUGGCGGGGUAACGGCCCACCAAAGCGACGAUCGAUAGCCGAUCUGAGAGGAUGGCCCGCCACAUUGGGACUGGGACACGGCCCAAACUCCUACGGGAGGCAGCAGUGGGGGAUAUUGCACAAUGGGGGAAACCCUGAUGCAGCGACGCCGCGUGAGUGAAGAAGUAUUUCGGUAUGUAAAGCUCUAUCAGCAGGGAAGAAAAUGACGGUACCUGAGGAAGAAGCCCCGGCUAACUACGUG